rnacentral:rRNA from 1 species
GACGAACGCUGGCGGCGUGCUUAACACAUGCAAGUCGAGCGGAAAGGCCCUUUCGGGGUACUCGAGCGGCGAACGGGUGAGUAACACGUGAGUAAUCUGCCCUUGGCUUUGGGAUAACUACCGGAAACGGUGGCUAAUACCGGAUACGACGUACUCAGGCAUCUGAUGUGCGUGGAAAGUUUUUUCGGCCAGGGAUGUGCUCGCGGCCUAUCAGCUUGUUGGUGGGGUAAUGGCCUACCAAGGCUUCGACGGGUAGCCGGCCUGAGAGGUGACCGGCCACACUGGGACUGAGACACGGCCCAGACUCCUACGGGAGGCAGCAGUGGGGAAUAUUGGACAAUGGGCGAAGCCUGAUCCAGCAA